rnacentral:rRNA from 1 species
AGCAGCCGCCGCGGGAAUACGGAGGGUGCAAGCGUUAUCCGGAUUUAUUGGGUUUAAAGGGUCCGUAGGCGGAUCUGUAAGUCAGUGGUGAAAUCUCACAGCUUAACUGUGAAACUGCCAUUGAUACUGCAGGUCUUGAGUAAAUUUGAAGUGGCUGGAAUAAGUAGUGUAGCGGUGAAAUGCAUAGAUAUUACUUAGAACACCAAUUGCGAAGGCAGGUCACUAAGAUUUAACUGACGCUGAUGGACGAAAGCGUGGGGAGCGAACAGGAUUAGAUACCCCUGUAGUCCCUGUCUCUUAUAC